rnacentral:rRNA from 1 species
UAAGCCGUUGAAGGUGAAUCGUAAGGUUUGCUGGAGGUAUCAGAAGUGCGAAUGCUGACAUGAGUAACGACAAAGGGGGUGAAAAACCUCCUCGCCGGAAGACCAAGGGUUCCUGUCCAACGUUAAUCGGGGCAGGGUGAGUCGACCCCUAAGGUGAGGCCGAAAGGCGUAAUCGAUGGGAAACGGGUUAAUAUUCCCGUACUUCUGACUAUUGCGAUGGGGGGACGGAGAAGGCUAGGUGGGCCAGGCGACGGUUGUCCUGGUUCAAGUGCGUAGGCUUGAGAGUUAGGUAAAUCCGGCUCUCUCUAAGGCUGAGACACGACGUCGAGCUGCUACGGCAGUGAAGUCAUUGAUGCCAUGCUUCCAGGAAAAGCCUCUAAGCUUCAGAUAGUCAGGAAUCGUACCCCAAACCGACACAGGUGGUCGGGUAGAGAAUACCAAGGCGCUUGAGAGAACUCGGGUGAAGGAACUAGGCAAAAUGGUACCGUAACUUCGGGAGAAGGUACGCUCUUGAUGGUGAAGUCCCUCGCGGAUGGAGCUGACGAGAGUCGCAGAUACCAGGUGGCUGCAACUGUUUAUUAAAAACACAGCACUGUGCAAAAUCGCAAGAUGACGUAUACGGUGUGACGCCUGCCCGGUGCCGGAA